rnacentral:rRNA from 1 species
UGGGGAAUUUUGGACAAUGGGGGAAACCCUGAUCCAGCCAUCCCGCGUGUGCGAUGAAGGCCUUCGGGUUGUAAAGCACUUUUGGCAGGAAAGAAACGUCAUGGGUUAAUACCCCGUGAAACUGACGGUACCUGCAGAAUAAGCACCGGCUAACUACGUGCCAGCAGCCGCGGUAAUACGUAGGGUGCAAGCGUUAAUCGGAAUUACUGGGCGUAAAGCGUGCGCAGGCGGUUCGGAAAGAAAGAUGUGAAAUCCCAGAGCUCAACUUUGGAACUGCAUUUUUAACUACCGGGCUAGGGUGUGUCGGAGGGAGGGGGAAUUCCGCGUGUAGCAGUAAAAUGCGUAGGUAUGCGGAGGAACACCGAUGGCGAAGGCAGCCUCCUGGGAUAACACUGACGCUCAUGCACGAAAGCGUGGGGAGCAAACAGG